rnacentral:rRNA from 1 species
AAAUUGAAGAGUUUGAUCAUGGCUCAGAUUGAACGCUGGCGGCAGGCCUAACACAUGCAAGUCGAGCGGAAACGAGUUAUCUGAACCUUCGGGGAACGAUAACGGCGUCGAGCGGCGGACGGGUGAGUAAUGCCUAGGAAAUUGCCCUGAUGUGGGGGAUAACCAUUGGAAACGAUGGCUAAUACCGCAUAAUGCCUACGGGCCAAAGAGGGGGACCUUCGGGCCUCUCGCGUCAGGAUAUGCCUAGGUGGGAUUAGCUAGUUGGUGAGGUAAGGGCUCACCAAGGCGACGAUCCCUAGCUGGUCUGAGAGGAUGAUCAGCCACACUGGAACUGAGACACGGU